UUGGCUAUAGCUCAAGCGGGCAGAGCGCUGCACUGUGAAUGCAGAGGUUGUCGGGUUCGAGUCCCACUAGCCGAC
rnacentral:tRNA from 1 species